UCUGUCUCAAAAAAAAAAAAAAUUGGAAUGAUACAGAGAAGACUGGCAUGGUCCCUGUGCAAGGAUGACAUGCAAAUUUGUAAAGUGUUCCAUAAAAAA
ensembl:snRNA U6 U6 spliceosomal RNA